GAUGAACGCUGGCGGCGUGCUUAACACAUGCAAGUCGAACGAAGCAUGUAAGUGGAUCUCUUCGGGGUGAAGCUUACAUGACUUAGUGGCGGACGGGUGAGUAACGCGUGGGUAACCUGCCUCAUACAGGGGGAUAACAGUUGGAAACGACUGCUAAGACCGCAUAACCCGCUAGUGUCGCAUGACACGGACGGAAAAUAUUUAUAGGUAUGAGAUGGGCCCGCGUCUGAUUAGCUAGUUGGUGGGGUAAUGGCCUACCAAGGCAACGAUCAGUAGCCGACUUGAGAGAGUGAUCGGCCACAUUGGGACUGAGACACGGACCAAACUCCUACGGGAGGCAGCAGUGGGGAAUAUUGCACAAUGGGCGAAAGCCUGAUGCAGCGACGCCGCGUGAGUGAAGAAGUAUUUCGGUAUGUAAAGCUCUAUCAGCAGGGAAGAUAAUGACAGUACCUGACUAAGAAGCCCCGGCUAACUACGUGCCAGCCGCCGCGGUAAGAC
rnacentral:rRNA from 1 species